rnacentral:rRNA from 1 species
GAGUUUGUAUCCUGGCUCAGGAUGAACGCUAGCUACAGGCUUAACACAUGCAAGUCGAGGGGAAACGGACAUCGAAAGCUUGCUUUUGAUGGGCGUCGACCGGCGCACGGGUGAGUAACGCGUAUCCAACCUGCCCACCACUUGGGGAUAACCUUGCGAAAGUAAGACUAAUACCCAAUGACGUCUCUAGAAGACAUCUGAAAGAGAUUAAAGAUUUAUCGGUGAUGGAUGGGGAUGCGUCUGAUUAGCUUGUUGGCGGGGUAACGGCCACCAAGGCGACGAUCAGUAGGGGUUCUGAGAGGAACGGUCCCCACAUUGGAACUGAGACACGGUCCAAACUCCGUACGGGAGCA